rnacentral:rRNA from 1 species
UACGGAGGGUGCAAGCGUUAUUCGGAAUUAUUGGGCGUAAAGAGCGCGUAGGCGGUCCUUUAAGUCAGAUGUGAAAGCCCAGGGCUCAACCCUGGAAGUGCAUUUGAAACUAAAGGACUUGAGUAUGGGAGAGGGAAGUGGAAUUCCUGGUGUAGCGGUGAAAUGCGUAGAGAUCAGGAGGAACACCGGUGGCGAAGGCGACUUCCUGGACCAAUACUGACGAUGAGGCGCGAAGGAGUGGGGAGCAAACAGG